rnacentral:rRNA from 1 species
GCCAGAGAGGGUGAGAGCCCCGUAAGCGAAAUCCAAAGAAGGCCUAUCAGUAUCCUGAGUAGGGCGGGACACGUGAAAUCCCGUUUGAAUCCGCGAGGACCAUCUCGCAAGGCUAAAUACUAACCAGUGACCGAUAGUGAACCAGUACCGUGAGGGAAAGGUGAAAAGAACCCCGGGAGGGGAGUGAAAGAGAACCUGAAACCGUGUGCCUACAAGUAGUCAGAGCCCGUUAACGGGUAAUGGCGUGCCUUUUGUAGAAUGAACCGGCGAGUUGCGUUAGUCAGCAAGGUUAAGUCAGAAAAGACGGAGCCGUAGCGAAAGCGAGUCUGAAGAGGGCGAGCAGUUGGCUGACGCAGACCCGAAACCAAGUGACCUACCCAUGACCAGGUUGAAGGCGCGGUAAAACGCGCUGGAGGACCGAACCCACGUAAGUUGAAAAUUGCGGGGAUGAGUUGUGGGUAGCGGUGAAAUUCCAAACGAACUUGGAGAUAGCUGGUUCUCUCCGAAAUAGCUUUAGGGCUAGCCUCGCAAAGAGGAUGCUGGAGGUAGAGCUCUGUUUGGACUAGGGGCCCGUCAAGGGUUACUGAAUUCAGAUAAACUGCGAAUUCCAGACAUUUAUGUGCGGGAGUCAGACUGCGAGUGAUAAGAUCCGUAGUCGAAAGGGAAACAGCCCAGAUCACCAGUUAAGGUCCCAAAAUUCAUGCUAAGUGGAAAAGGAUGUGGAGUUGCGCAGACAACUAGGACGUUGGCUCAGAAGCAGCCAUCAUUCAAAGAGUGCGUAAUAGCUCACUAGUCGAGUGACGCCGCGCCGAAAAUUUACCGGGGCUAAGCAUGAUACCGAAACUGUGGAUGUGCGUUUAUGCACGUGGUAGGAGAGCGUUCUAGCGGCGGUGAAGCAUGACCGAGAGGACAUGUGGAGCUUCUAGAAGUGAGAAUGCCGGUAUGAGUAACGAAAGACAGGUGAGAAUCCUGUCCGCCGCAAGACUAAGGUUUCCUGGGGCAGGCUCGUCCGCCCAGGGUAAGUCGGGACCUAAGGCGAGGCCGAGAGGCGUAGUCGAUGGACAACAGGUUGAAAUUCCUGUACUGCACCGAAUCGUUAUGAGCGAUGGAGGGACGCAGGAGGCUAGCAGCGCGUGGUGCUGGAUACCACGUUCAAGCGUCAAGUCUGAGAGCGAGUCAAAUGCUUGCUCUCAUAAGGACAAGGCGUGAUGAGGAGCGAAAUUAAAGUAGCGAAGGCUGCGACGUCACACUGCCGAGAAAAGCUUCUAGCCAGAGACGGUGCACCCGUACCGCAAACCGACACAGGUAGUCGAGGAGAGUAUCCUCAGGUGAGCGAGAGAACUCUCGUUAAGGAACUCGGCAAAAUGGCCCCGUAACUUCGGGAGAAGGGGCGCUGGUCGCAAGAUCAGCCGCAGUGAAAAGGCCCAAGCAACUGUUUAUCAAAAACACAGGCAUCUGCAAAAUCGUAAGAUGAAGUAUAGGUGCUGACACCUGCCCGGUGCUGGAAGGUUAAGAGGAGAGCUUAGCGCAAGCGAAGGUUUGAAUUGAAGCCCCAGUAAACGGCGGCCGUAACUAUAACGGUCCUAAGGUAGCGAAAUUCCUUGUCGGGUAAGUUCCGACCUGCACGAAAGGUGUAAUGAUUUGGGCACUGUCUCAACGAGAGACUCGGUGAAAUUAUAAUACCCGUGAAGAUGCGGGUUACCCGCGACAGGACGGAAAGACCCCAUGGAGCUUUACUGCAGUUUAAUAUUGGGUAUCUGUCAAGCAUGUACAGGAUAGGUAGGAGCCGGAGAAGAUAGGACGCCAGUCUUAUCUGAGGCGCUGUUGGGAUACUACCCUUGCUUGACGGAUGCUCUAACUUAGGCCUGUGAUCCAGGCCGAGGACAGUGUUUGACGGGCAGUUUGACUGGGGCGGUCGCCUCCUAAAGUGUAACGGAGGCGCCCAAAGGUUCCCUCAGAAUGGUUGGAAAUCAUUCGCAGAGUGUAAAGGUAAAAGGGAGCUUGACUGCGAGAGAGACAACUCGAGCAGGUACGAAAGUAGGGCUUAGUGAUCUGGUGGUACCGCAUGGAAGGGCCAUCACUCAACGGAUAAAAGCUACCCUGGGGAUAACAGGCUUAUCUCCCCCAAGAGUUCACAUCGACGGGGAGGUUUGGCACCUCGAUGUCGGCUCGUCGCAUCCUGGGGCUGAAGUCGGUCCCAAGGGUUGGGCUGUUCGCCCAUUAAAGCGGCACGCGAGCUGGGUUCAGAACGUCGUGAGACAGUUCGGUCCCUAUCCGUCGUGGGCGCAGGAAAUUUGAGAGGAGCUGUCCUUAGUACGAGAGGACCGGGAUGGACGCACCGCUGGUGUACCAGUUGUCUUGCCAAAGGCAUCGCUGGGUAGCUAUGUGCGGACGGGAUAAGCGCUGAAAGCAUCUAAGUGCGAAGCCCCCCUCAAGAUGAGAUUUCCCAUUUCUUCAAGAAAGUAAGACACCUCAGAGACGAUGAGGUAGAUAGGCCGGGAGUGGAAGAGCCGUGAGGCUUGGAGCGGACCGGUACUAAUCAGUCGAGGACUUGACCAAA